rnacentral:rRNA from 1 species
UUGAACGCUGGCGGCAGGCCUAACACAUGCAAGUCGAACGGUAACAGGAAGCAGCUUGCUGCUUUGCUGACGAGUGGCGGACGGGUGAGUAAUGUCUGGGAAACUGCCUGAUGGAGGGGGAUAACUACUGGAAACGGUAGCUAAUACCGCAUAACGUCGCAAGACCAAAGAGGGGGACCUUCGGGCCUCUUGCCAUCGGAUGUGCCCAGAUGGGAUUAGCUAGUAGGUGGGGUAAAGGCUCACCUAGGCGACGAUCCCUAGCUGGUCUGAGAGGAUGACCAGCCACACUGGAACUGAGACACGGUCCAGACUCCUACGGGAGGCAGCAGUGGGGAAUAUUGCACAAUGGGCGCAAGCCUGAUGCAGCCAUGCCGCGUGUAUGAAGAAGGCCUUCGGGUUGUAAAGUACUUUCAGCGGGGACGAAGCGAAAGUGACGGUACCUGCAGAAGAAGCACCGGCCAACUACGUGCCAGCCGCCGCAGUAAAAC